GCUAAUCUGCGAUAAGCGUCGGUAAGGUGAUAUGAACCGUUAUAACCGGCGAUUUCCGAAUGGGGAAACCCAGUGUGUUUCGACACACUAUCAUUAACUGAAUCCAUAGGUUAAUGAGGCGAACCGGGGGAACUGAAACAUCUAAGUACCCCGAGGAAAAGAAAUCAACCGAGAUUCCCCCAGUAGCGGCGAGCGAACGGGGAGGAGCCCAGAGCCUGAAUCAGUGUGUGUGUUAGUGGAAGCGUCUGGAAAGGCGCGCGAUACAGGGUGACAGCCCCGUACACAAAAAUUCACAUGCUGUGAGCUCGAUGAGUAGGGCGGGACACGUGGUAUCCUGUCUGAAUAUGGGGGGACCAUCCUCCAAGGCUAAAUACUCCUGACUGACCGAUAGUGAACCAGUACCGUGAGGGAAAGGCGAAAAGAACCCCGGCGAGGGGAGUGAAAAAGAACCUGAAACCGUGUACGUACAAGCAGUGGGAGCAUGCUUAGGCGUGUGACUGCGUACCUUUUGUAUAAUGGGUCAGCGACUUAUAUUCUGUAGCAAGGUUAACCGAAUAGGGGAGCCGAAGGGAAACCGAGUCUUAACUGGGCGUUAAGUUGCAGGGUAUAGACCCGAAACCCGGUGAUCUAGCCAUGGGCAGGUUGAAGGUUGGGUAACACUAACUGGAGGACCGAACCGACUAAUGUUGAAAAAUUAGCGGAUGACUUGUGGCUGGGGG
rnacentral:rRNA from 1 species